ACGCUCGACACCUACGGGAGGCCAGCAGUGGGGAAUAUUGCACAAUGGGGGAAACCCUGAUGCAGCGACGCCGCGUGAGCGAAGAAGUAUUUCGGUAUGUAAAGCUCUAUCAGCAGGGAAGAAACUGACGGUACCUGACUAAGAAGCACCGGCUAAAUACGUGUCAGCAGCCGCGGUAAUCUGAGCGGGCUGGCAAGGC
rnacentral:rRNA from 1 species